AGCAGCCGCGGUAAUUCCAGCUCCAAUAGCGUAUAUUAAAGUUGUUGCAGUUAAAAAGCUCGUAGUUGAAUUUCGGGAUCAGUACGCUGGUCGUGCCUUCGGUAUGUACUGGUGUUACUGGUUCCUCCUUCCUGAUGAACCGUAAUGCCACUAAUUUGGUGUUGCGGGGAGACUGGACUGUUACUUUGAAAAAAUUAGAGUGUUUAAAGCAAGCUAACGCUUGAAUACAUUAGCAUGGAAUAAUGAAAUAGGACGUUCGAUCUUAUUUUGUUGGCUUCUAGGAUUGACGUAAUGAUUAAUAGGGAUAGUUGGGGGCAUUAGUAUUCAAUUGUCAGAGGUGAAAUUCUUGGAUUUAUUGAAGACUAACUACUGCGAAAGCAUUUGCCAAGGAUGUUUUCAUUAAUCAAGAACGAAAGUUAGGGGAUCGAAGACGAUCAGAUACCGUCGUAG
rnacentral:rRNA from 1 species